GCGGGAAGCUCAGGGGAGACAAGGA
rnacentral:tRNA from 1 species